rnacentral:rRNA from 1 species
ACAACUUUUAACAACAGAUCUCUUGGUUCUAGCAUUAAUAAAGAACGCAGCAAAAUGCAAUAAGUAGUGUAAAUUGCAGAAUUUAGUAAAUUAUUAAAUCUUUAAACGCACAUUGCGCCCCUUAGUAUUCUAUAGGGCAUGCCUGUUUAAGCGUUAUUUGUACCCUUAAGCUCUGCUUAGUGUUAGGUGUUUAUUCUACUUAGGACUCGCCUUAAAACAAUUAGUAGCUAGCACAUUAGCCUAGAGCGCAGCACAUUUUACGCCUCUUAUUAUAGUUAUUAGCAUCUAUUAAGACACUUUUUAAGCUCUUAACCUUAGAUUAGGUAGGGAUACCCGCUAAACUUAAGUAUAUUAAUAAGCGGAGGAAAAGAAACUAAUAGGGAUUGCCCUAGUAACGGCGAGUAAAGCGGCAACAGCUUAAAUUUAAAAUCUAGCUCUUUUAGGGUCCAAGUUGUAAUUUGCAGAGGGCGCUUUGGCAUUAGCAGCGGUCUAAGUUCCUUAGAACAGGACGUUAUAAAGGGUAAGAAUCCUAUACGUAGUUACUAGCCUUCGCCGUGUAAAGCCCCUUUAACAAGUUAAGUUAUUUAGGAAUGCAGCUCUAAAUAGGAGGUAAAUUUCUUCUAAAGCUAAAUACUAGCUAGAGACUAAUAGCGUAUAAGUAGAGUAAUUAAAAGAUAAAAAGCACUUUAGAAAGAGAGUUAAAUAGCACGUGAAAUUGUUAAAAGGGAAGCGCUUACAGCUAGACUUACCUGUAGUUACUUAUCUAGGCUUUUAUCUAGUAUACUCUUCUAUAGGUAGGCUAGUAUUAGUUUAGGUAGUUAGAUAAAGGUCUCUAUUACGUACCUCCCUUUAGGGAGGCCUUAUAGGGGAGACGACAUGCAACUAGCCUAGACUAAGGUCCGCGUAUCUGCUAGGAUGCUAGCGUAAUAGCUAUAAGCGGCCCAUCUUAAAAUAUAGACUAAGGAGUCUAACAUCUAUGCAAGUAUUUAGGUAUUAAGCCUAGACGCGUGAUAAAAGUAAACAGAGGUGGGACCCCUUUUAGGGUGCACUAUUAACUAAUUCUAAUGUCUUUAGAAGGAUUUAAGUAAGAGCAUAGCUAUUAGGACCUAAAAGAUAGUAAACUAUGCUUAAAUAGGGUAAAGCUAGAGGAAACUCUAGUAGAGGCUUGUAGCAGUUCUAACGUGUAAAUUAAUUGUUAAAUUUAGGCAUAGGGGCAAAAGACUAAUUAAACUAUCUAGUAGCUAGUUCCUACUAAAGUUUCCCUUAGGAUAGCAGUAACGUAUUUAGUUUUAUAAGGUAAAGCAAAUAAUUAGAGGCCUAGGGGUUAAAAUAACCUUUACCUAUUCUUAAACUUUAAAUAUAUAAGAAGUCCUUAUUACUUAAUUAAAUGUGGACACUUAAAUAUACUAUUACUAGUAGGCUAUUUUUAGUAAGUAGAACUAGCAAUAUAGGAUAAACUAAACAUAGGGUUAAGGUGCUAGAAUACACGCUUAUUAGACACUAUAAAAGGUGUUAGUUUAUCUAGAUAGCAGGAUAGUAGCUAUAGAAGUUAUAAUCUACUAAGGAGUGUGUAACAACUUACCUGCUAAAUAAACUAGCCCUAAAAAUAGAUAGCGCUUAAGCGUGUUACCUAUACCCCGCCGCUAGGGCAAGAUUUAAGCCCUAGUAAGUAGGUAGGCGUAGAGGCUUGUAACAAAGCCUUAGGGGUAACCCUAGGUAGAAUAGCCUCUAGUAUAGAUCUUAGUAGUAGUAGCAAAUACUUAAAUAAGAACUUUAAGGACUAAAGUAGGGAAAGGUUCUAUAUAAAUAGUAGUUAGACACAGGUUAGUUAAUCCUAAGAGAUAGGGUAAUUCUAUUUUAAUAUUAGCGCUUACGCCACGCCCUUAAAAGGGAAGCUAGUUAAUAUUCUAGCACCUAGAUAUAGAUUCUCUGCGGCAACACAACUAAGAGCGGAGACCUUAGCAGAAGCCCUAAGAAGAGUUCUCUUUUCUUCUUAACAGUCUAUUACCCUAAAAUUAGUUUGUCUAGAGCUAGGGUUUAAUAGCUAGAAGAGCACUACACUUUUAUAGUAUUUAGUACGCUCCUAACAAGCCUUAAAAAUCUACUUAAAGAAAUAGUUUUUACGCUAGGUUGUACUUAUAACUAUAGUAGGUCUCUAAGGUAAAAAGCCUCUAGUUAAUAGAAUAAUAUAGAUAAGGGAAGUUAGUAAAAUAGAUCUGUAACUUUAGGAAAAGGAUUAGCUCUAAGGGUUAGGUACGUUAGGCCUUAGGGAGAAGCCUCUAGCGCAGAAGGGCACUAACUACAAGGUAGGCGCCUCUUAGCGCUAGGGUGCAGAUACCCUUAGCAGGUUUUAGCUGUCUAGCGUACGUUUAAUAACUAACUUAGAACUAGUAUAGAUAAGGGGAAUCUAACUAUCUAAUUAAAAUAUAGCAUUGCAAUAGCUAGAAAGUAGUGUUAACAUAAUGUAAUUUCUACCUAGUGCUCUAAAUAUUAAAGCAAA